rnacentral:rRNA from 1 species
AAAAUGAAGUUUAUUUUUUAGUAAGAAAGCUAAAAUAAUUCUUUUAGACGAGAAGACCCUAUAAAACUUUAUAUUUCUAAUUUUUAGAAGAAUUGGGAAAUAUUUUACUGGGGCGGUAGGGAAAAAAUCUUUCCUUUAUUUUAGAAUACAUACAUGUAUUUAUACCUAGAAGUUCUAAAAAAGGAAUAAGUUACUUUAGGGAUAACAGCUUUAUACNCUUUAAAAGAUCUAAUUGACAAGUGUGUUUNCGACCUCGANGNUGAAUUAAAAUACCUUUUNUAUGCAGUAGUUNUGAAAGGAGGUCUNNNC